rnacentral:rRNA from 1 species
CACGUAGGGGGCAAGCGUUGCCCGGAAUUAUUGGGCGUAAAGAGCUCGUAGGCGGCUCGGUAAGUCAGGUGUCAAAUCCUCAGGCUCAACCUGGGGCUCCACCUGAUACUGCUGUGGCUAGAGUCCGGUAGGGGAGCGUGGAAUUCCUGGUGUAGCGGUGAAAUGCGCAGAUAUCAGGAGGAACACCAGCGGCGAAGGCGGCCAGCUGGGCCGUCCCUGACGCUGAGGCGCGAAGGCGUGGGGAGCGAACGGG